rnacentral:rRNA from 1 species
AUUGAACGCUGGCGGCAGGCCUAACACAUGCAAGUCGAGCGGUAACAUUUCUAGCUUGCUAGAAGAUGACGAGCGGCGGACGGGUGAGUAAUGCUUGGGAACAUGCCUUGAGGUGGGGGACAACCAUUGGAAACGAUGGCUAAUACCGCAUAAUGUCUACGGACCAAAGGGGGCUUCGGCUCUCGCCUUUAGAUUGGCCCAAGUGGGAUUAGCUAGUUGGUGAGGUAACGGCUCACCAAGGCGACGAUCCCUAGCUGGUUUGAGAGGAUGAUCAGCCACACUGGAACUGAGACACGGUCCAGACUCCUACGGGAGGCAGCAGUGGGGAAUAUUGCACAAUGGGCGCAAGCCUGAUGCAGCCAUGCCGCGUGUGUGAAGAAGGCCUUAGGGUUGUAAAGCACUUUCAGUCAGGAGGAAAGGUUAGUAGUUAAUACCUGCUAGCUGUGACGUUACUGACAGAAGAAGCACCGGCUAACUCCGUGC